rnacentral:rRNA from 1 species
UACAGAGGGUGCGAGCGUUAAUCGGAAUUACUGGGCGUAAAGCGUGCGUAGACGGUUGCAUAAGUCGGAUGUGAAAUCCCCGGGCUCAACCUGGGAAUUGCAUUCGAGACUGUAUAGCUGGGGUGCGGAAGAGGGAAGCGGAAUUUCCGGUGUAGCGGUGAAAUGCGUAGAUAUCGGAAGGAACAUCAGUGGCGAAAGCGGCUUCCUGGUCCAGCACCGACGUCAGGCACGAAAGCGUGGGGAGCAAACAGG